GAUGAACGCUGGCGGCGUGCCUAAUACAUGCAAGUCGAGCGAACAGACGAGGAGCUUGUUCCUCUGACGUUAGCGGCGGACGUGUGAGUAACAUGUGGAUAAUCUACCUAUAAGACUGGUAUAACUUCGGGAAACCGGAGCUAAUACCGUAUAAUAUAUGGAACCGCAUGGUUCAAUAGUGAAAGACGGUUUUGCUGUCUGUUCUAGAUGCCUCCGAGCCGCAUUAGCUAGUUGGUAAGGUAACGGCUUACCAAGGCAACGAUGCGUAGCCGACCGGGGAGGGUGAUAGGCCACACUGGAACGGGAACACGGACAAGACGCCUACGGGAGGCAGCAGAAGGGAAUGUUCCGCAACGGGCGAGAGCCUGACGGAGCAAGGCCGCGUGAGUGAUGAAGGUCUUCGGAUCGUAAAACUCUGUUAUUAGGGAAGAACAACUGUGUAAGUAACUAUGCACAUCUUGACGGUACCUGAUCAGAAAGCCCCGGCUAACUACGUG
rnacentral:rRNA from 1 species